rnacentral:lncRNA from 1 species
AUGAAGGAAUCAAGUGUCUUCACCACCACCAUCAUCAUAGAAAUUACCAGUUACCCUCUGUUAUUCCUCCCGGCUGCAUUCUCUAACCACCCAGGAUUCCACCACAGCAUACCUCGUGUUCAGAGUUUUGCUCUAGAAGACCAGCAAGACCCCCAUUUCCAGCACUUCCACAUGUCUCCACAACGCCAGUAUCAAGUCGAAGAUUCCUGCUCAAGCUAUCGUGGAGACUGUCCUCCUCUCUGCCAGAGCAAAAAUCACUCCCAGAGCACUCCACUGGGUCGUGGCCUUGCCUCAACACAUGUGGACAGUGUGUCAGAAUCCAGGCUUUAUGAACAAGGGGGGAUUUACCUCUACAUGGCAUUGUGCACAGGUUUCCAAGUUUUUUUUUUGGUGGUGGUGGUGGGGGGGUUACUAUAGUUUACUAUCAAUGAACUUGAAAGUAUCACAAAUGCUUCACCUUGUAUGUUACAUUUAGUAUUGACUUUGUUUAAGUGUGGAUAAUGUUCUAUAACAGCAUGUAGUUCAACAGACUGAUUGUGGUCUUUGUCAUUAAAAUACAUAUUUGGCAGCGAUGUUUUAAUAAACUUGGACAAGUAUUAAUGACAAGUUGUUUGAUGUUGUGCAUUCACUGAUGAUUGCUUUCUGCAGUAUUGUAAUGCUACUACCUUUAAAAAUAUUGACAAUUAAUCAGCCUUUAAUUGCCUAAGAAUGCCAAGGUCACGCAAAUGAUUGCAGUCUGUGAGCACUCAUGAUGCACACAAAAUAAUGGAAAACAGCGUUUCCUGCUGACUGAGAUGUUUAGGUCUUGCGCAUUAAGGUCUUAGUAAUAUUUGAUGCGUCAGUGGGCUUCAUGCUUAAGGACCAAAGGAAGCAGUGAGUUUGGUGACAUUAUAAUUUUCUGUUGUUCAAAGCAGUUUAUUACAAAGAGUAAUAAAUAUGUGGUGGUAAAUAUGUGACUUGUUCAAUAAGUUACGGAUUGUGCGUUUGCCGUUAUCUCCAAAAUAUGUAUCUUAUCAAAAUAAAAGCUACAAAGAAAAACUUUCUUAUUAGGUUAGGUUUUUUUUUUUUUUUUUUUUUUUACUUUAGUAUUGUUUAUUAUUUUUCGUUUGUCCGUUAUCUCCAAAAUAAUGUAUCUUAUACAAAUAAAAGACUACUAAGAAAAACUUUACUUAUUAGAGGUUUUUGUUUUUUUUUUUUUUUUUACUUUAGAUUGUUAUAUUUUUGUUUAAAGUUGCUGAAAGCAAGAAACAUUUGAUCUAUACGUGUCAACCUGUCAUGGUUUUUCCUUGGGUUUAAAACUAAAAAAAGUAUGCAACAAAACUACAAUGGAUAUUUGGGUCAUAGAAAUACUGUAUUAUUUAAAGCUGUGGAAUUACAUAGAAAUAAAAAAAAUGAAUGGCAUAAAAUUAAGCAGAAAAUAAAUAUUCAAUCUUUAUUUUCAACCAAAUAUUUCGUCACAGCCAACAUGUUAUUUCUUUGUAACAAAGCUAUAUGAAAAAAGAGACCCCCCCACCCCAAAUAAAAAAAAACAACAUACAACAAAUAUCAAAAGGAAUACGCAAACAAAUACACUGUGACCUUGAGUGUUUAUUUCUCUCCUCUUUAUAGUAAAUGCAAAUGCUGGUGGUUCAGUUUCGGAAAGCUUUAAAGAAAAAAAAAAAAAAAGUGGAAGCAACAACAUUUAUUUUGCUAUGCCAAACACAUCCGCUCAUGGACACCUGCCUUAGGGGAAAAAAGCAGGACUAAAACAGUGCUUUUAAACUUUCCUGAACAUUCUAGGUACCAAAUAAACACUGAUGUCUUUGCAAAAUAAAAGUCCAAGUAUUAAUCAAAAUAGUCCUGUGAAUAAGGUGAGCCUUUCAAAGGACCACAUAAAAGCUGACAGGAAAAAUUAAAAGGGAUGGACACUAAUUUAUUGGCCUGCAUAUCUGUUUCUGCUGAAGAUAUUUUAUCAUGCAAAAUGUGAAAUAAAAGACAUACAGGCCAUGAAUACUGAGGAUUAUUGGGUUUCCACUGCAAUACAGAUGCUGGCCAUAUAAUUAGAAUAUCAUCAAAAAGUUGAUUUAUUUCACUAAUUCCAUUCAAAAAGUGAAACUUGUAUUUUAUAUUCAUUCAUUACACACAGACUGAUAUAUUUCACAUUUUUAUUUCUUUUAAUUUUGAUGAUUUUAACUGACAACUAAGGAAAAAUCCCAAAUUCAGUAUCUCAGAAAAUUAGAAUGUUGUGAAAAGGUUCAAUAUUGAAGACACCUGGUGCCACACUCUCAUCAGCUAAUUAACUCUAAACACCUGCAAAGGCCUUUAAAUGGUCUCUCAGUCUAGUUCUGUAGGCUACACAAUCAUGAGGAAGACUACUGACUUGACAGUUGUCCAAAAGACGACCAUUGACACCAUGCACAAGGAGGGCAAGACACAAAAGGUCAUUGCAAAAGAGGCUGGCUGUUCACAGAGCUCUGUGUCCAAGCACAUUAAUAGAGAGGCGAAAGGAAGGAAAAGAUGUGGUAGAAACAAAGUGUACAAGCAAUGGGGAUAACCGCACCCUGGAGAGGAUUGUGAAACAAAACCCAUUCAAAAAUGUGGGGGAGAUUCACAAAGAGUGGACUGUAGUUGGAGUCAGUGCUUCAAGAACCACUCACUACACACAGACGUAUGCAAGACAUGGGUUUCAGCUGUCGCAUUCCUUGUGUCAAGCCACUCUUGAACAACAGACAGCGUCAGGAACGUCUCGCCUGGGCUAAAGACAAAAAGGACUGGACUGCUGCUGAGUGGUCCAAAGUUAGGUUCUCUGAUGAAAGUAAAUUUUGCAUUUCCUUUGGAAAUCAGGGUCCCAGAGUCUGGAGGAAGAGAGGAGAGGCACAUAAUCCACAUCGCUUGAGGUCCAGUGUAAAAGUUUCCACAGUCAGUGAUGGUUUGGGGUGCCAUGUCAUCUGCUGGGGUUAGUCCACUGUGUUUUCUGAGGUCCAAGGUCAACGCAGCUAUAUACCAGGAAAUUUUAGAGCACUUCAUGCUUCCUGCUGCUGACCAACUUUAUGGAGAUGCAGAUUUUCAUUUUCCAACAGGACUUGGCACCUGCACACAGUGCCAAAGCUACCAGUACCUGGUUUAAGGACCAUGGUAUCCCUGUUCUUAAUUGGCCAGCAAACUCACCUGACCUUAACCCAUAGAAAAUCUAUGGGGUAUUGUGAAGAGGAAGAUGCGAUAUGCCAGACCCAAGAAUGCAGAAGAGCUGAAGGCCACUAUCAAGAACAAACUGGGCUCUCAUAACACCUGAGCAGUGCCAACAGACUAGACUCGACU